rnacentral:rRNA from 1 species
UACGUAGGGGGCAAGCGUUGUCCGGAUUUAUUGGGCGUAAAGAGCGUGUAGGCGGCCAGAUAGGUCCGUUGUGAAAACUCGAGGCUCAACCUCGAGACGCCGAUGGAAACCAUUUGGCUAGAGUCCGGAAGAGGAGAGUGGAAUUCCUGGUGUAGCGGUGAAAUGCGCAGAUAUCAGGAGGAACACCAAUGGCGAAGGCAGCUCGCUGGAACGGUACUGACGCUGAGGCGCGAAAGCGUGGGGAGCGAACAGG